GACGUAGGGGGCGAGCGUUAUUCGGAAUUAUUGGGCGUAAAGCGCUCGUAGGCGGGACUGCAAGUCCGUGUUGAAAGACCUCGGCUCAACUGAGGGACCGGCUCGGAUACUGUGGUUCUUGAGGCAAUCAGAGGGUGAUGGAAUUCCCGGUGGAGCGGUGAAAUGCGUAGAUAUCGGGAGGAACACCAGUGGCGAAGGCGAUCACCUGGGGUUGUUCUGACGCUGAGGAGCGAAAGCUAGGGGAGCAAACGGG
rnacentral:rRNA from 1 species